rnacentral:rRNA from 1 species
UGAGCAAUCUGCCCUUCUCUUCGGAAUAAGCGUUGGAAACGACGUCUAAUGCCGAAUACGACCUCCUUUCGCAUGAUCGGAGGUGGAAAGCUCCGACGGAGAAGGAUGAGCUCGCGGCCUAUCAGCUAGUUGGUGUGGGUAAUGGCCCACCAAGGCGACGACGGGUAGCCGGCCUGAGAGGGUGACCGGCCACACGUGGGACUGAGACACGGCCCAGACCUCCGUACGGGAGGCAGCG